AAGAUACUCCCUCCGUCCGGAAAUACUCGUCCGAAAAAUGCAUAAAAAUGGAUGUAUCUAAAACUAAAAUACAUCUAGAUACAUCCAUUCCUCCGACAAGUAUUUCAGGACGGAGGGAGUAGAAU
rfam:Triticum aestivum genome assembly, contig: Triticum_aestivum_CS42_TGACv1_scaffold_289593_4AL